AAGAAUUUCAUCAUUGUAUGACUCAAUUGACGGUCGUUGUUGCCCCUGUUGUUUCCCAAGAAUGCAUGAACAACUUUUUGGAAAGCUUUCCAAGUUUUAGCUUCGGAACUGUCAAGGCAUUGUUGAAAUUCUGUGUUAUAGGUUAUAUGUCUGCUUUUCGAAUUUUAUGCACUUCAAAGAAAUAGCGCGCACUGUUUUCGAUAUUGCAGGUAAUAACUGCUCUAUUGCCCGAAAAACAGGGUUUUUGGGAAUAUCUCGGAAACCGUUCUUUGAAAGAAAAAAAUUAAAUUAAUUUUUGGUUUCAGCGACCUCAAAUUAGUUUAAAAAACGCUUUUUGGUCGAGGACCAUUUUUGAAAGUGAAAAAUUUGUAAACUAGUGUUAUUAAAGCAGAAUGAAACCUAGUAUUUUACUUUUAAAUGAAAGGAAGAAAGAGUAUUCAUAAUAAAGACGAAAUUACGCAGGAAAUUAUUGGAAUUAGGUUAUGAAGUGACAAAUAUUUAAAGUAUUAUGCAAAAAGGCACCAAGAAACAGCUGCCUUUGUUCUCAUUGGAGAUGAAGUAAGGAGCAAAUAAUACCUGUAAAGAAAUUAAUUGAAUAAAUACAGGUUUGAACUGCCUCAUCAAAAGAACACAAUUCCACAAUAUACAAAUUGUCAAAAAUACAGGUACACUAAAAACGUUUGCACAAAAACUCCAGUUUGUGUAAAAUGCAGAGGUAAUCACAAAACUAUAGAUUGUGUGAAAGCUGCAGCAACAUAAAAUGUGCCCUUUGCGGAGGCAAGCACACAGCGAGCUACAAGGAUGCGGAGUGUACAAAGCAUGCAAAAUCAAGUAAUACUCAGAGCAGCGCAACAAAGAAUUGAAUGUUGAUAAACAGCAAAACUCUUUAAACCGGCAAAUUGAUUCACAUUAUGUCAAAACGACAAUGUCAUAUGUCCAAGUUACAUCUCAAAAACUACAAACGGGCGUGAUAAAUUCUGAAACAACAUCAAAUGACGACAUCAAAUAAUUAAAGGAAAUAAUGAAGCAGGUUUUCACACAAAUGUCAAAUAUAAUGAAUAUUAUGAUAUUGCUCGUUAACAAAAUAGAUGGAAAGCACAAGUAAACUGAAAAUAAUCGGUUGCAAUGAAAACGGCUUGGCGCCAACAUUUGAAGGAACUGUAGUGCGAUUCACUAACACAUUUUGACAAUAUUCGCAUUGUUAUCUUUCCUUAACGACAAUUUUAACGAUUUUGCUAUUCGGUAAGCCAAAUCGACAAGAAAAAAUUAGCUGUUUGAUUAACAUGUAGAUUAUCUCAAACUAAACAACAACAACUAUUUUGUGGUCCAAUUAAACGAGAAAAAAGAAUUAGUAGUUUAAAUAAAAAUUUUGAAAUUACAUUAAUAAAAACUUGUUAAAAAAACGGCUUAUCGCGUGGAGAGGAGGUAAUGAAACCGCAAACAGUGAAUCGACGUUUGCUCCGGGAUGUGACCAAUCCUUUCCAUUUGGCUGCAGGAGAGUUCUAAAAAUAUUCCGGUUAAGUCCAGACUUGACUCUUAUCAUUGCUUGCUUGAGUUUUGAUAAACCAUCUACGGUGAGGUAAUUUACCCAUAAAAACUCCUGCUCCUCACAUGUAUUUUCCUUCCUGAUCUUGUGAAUCUGAGAGUACAGCUGCUCUGAUAUUGUGAUGCUAAGAGUACAGAUGCGCAGAUGCAUUCUGCUAAGUUCUCCAAAUCAUCAUACACCAAACAAAGCAAUUUAGUCAGUAAAACACCACAAAGUUCUGCGUAUAACUUAACUCCUACUCACGAAUGGUCCACGACGCUGGCAGAGAAGCAUCCCUGAAACCAAAAAUUAAUUAAAUUUUUUUUUUCAAAGAACGGUUUCCGAGAUAUUCCCAAAAAACCUGGUUUUUGGGCAAUAGUGCAGUUAAUACCUGCAAUCUCGAAAACAGUGCGCGCCAUUUCUUUGAAGUGCAUACAUUUCGAAAGGCACACAUAUAACCUACAUGACAAUAUAUAAUUCGUGUCAAUGGAAGUCGUAGUUUUCGCAAAACAGCUGUUGAAAGUUAAAAAAAAGGCAUUUUUGACGUUUUUUACUAAAUUAUCAAAGUUUAUUAACUUUUUUCUGGAACAAAAAAUUUUUUAUAUCGACAAAAGAUAGGUUUUCUGAAAUACAAUUUUCUCACCUACAUUUUAAGCCUAAGUUUGUCUGAAUCGACGAAAAAUUGUAGAAGUUAUGACCUAUAAAGUCAACACGUGUGAUUUUGCAGCUUUUGACUUGGCUAUGUUUGAGGUCGAAAAUACGUUUUUACUCUCAAACUUCUUCUUUUAUGUUGCACGGAAUCUUCACGAAGUUGCAUCCAGCAGUAGUCGCUCAUCAUUCCGUGAUCCCUUUUCAAUCGUAGCAAUAUCUUGAUGAAAUCGCUCGCUUUGUUCAUCACUUUCAGCCCCAAAUUCGGAGGAAAAAAAUCCAAAGACUGAGAAGUAGAUGCAUUUUUAACGACAUGCGAGCACAUGUUAGCAAAAACAGAGUUAAUUGUAAAUUUUACAACAAUUUUCCAAUCAAUUUACAUACAUGAUAAAUACAAUAUAUUUUGGAGUAUGUACGUUUUACAAUACUAACCAAUAGUUUUAAAGAAUUUCAUCAUUGUAUGACUCAAUUGACGGUCGUUGUUGCCGCUGUUGUUUCCCAAGAAUGCAUGAACAACUUUUUGGAAAGCUUUCCAAGUUUUAGCUUCGGAACUGUCAAGGCAUUGUUGAAAUUCUGUGUUAUAGGUUAUAUGUCUGCCUUUCGAAUUUUAUGCACUUCAAAGAAAUAGCGCGCACUGUUUUCGAUAUUGCAGGUAAUAACUGCACUAUUGCCCGAAAAACAGGGUUUUUGGGAAUAUCUCGGAAACCGUUCUUUGAAAAAAAAAAUUUUAAUUAAUUUUUGGUUUCAGCGACCUUAAAUUAGUUUAAAAAACGCUUUUUGGUCGAGGACCAUUUUUGAAAGUGAAAAAUUGUAAACUAGUGUUAUUAAAGCAGAAUGAAACCUAGUAUUUUACUUUUAAAUGAAAGGAAGAAAGAGUAUUCAUAAUAAAGACGAAAUUACGCAGGAAAUUAUUGGAAUUAGGUUAUGAAGUGACAAAUAUUUAAAGUAUUAUGCAAAAAGGCACCAAGAAACAGCUGCCUUUGUUCUCAUUGGAGAUGAAGUAAGGAGCAAAUAAUACCUGUAAAGAAAUUAAUUGAAUAAAUACAGGUUUGAACUGCCUCAUCAAAAGAACACAAUUCCACAAUAUACAAAUUGUCAAAAAUACAGGUACACUAAAAACGUUUGCACAAAAACUCCAGUUUGUGUAAAAUGCAGAGGUAAUCACAAAACUAUAGAUUGUGUGAAAGCUGCAGCAACAUAAAAUGUGCCCUUUGCGGAGGCAAGCACACAGCGAGCUACAAGGAUGCGGAGUGUACAAAGCAUGCAAAAUCAAGUAAUACUCAGAGCAGCGCAACAAAGAAUUGAAUGUUGAUAAACAGCAAAACUCUUUAAACCGGCAAAUUGAUUCACAUUAUGUCAAAACGACAAUGUCAUAUGUCCAAGUUACAUCUCAAAAACUACAAACGGGCGUGAUAAAUUCUGAAACAACAUCAAAUGACGACAUCAAAUAAUUAAAGGAAAUAAUGAAGCAGGUUUUCACACAAAUGUCAAAUAUAAUGAAUAUUAUGAUAUUGCUCGUUAACAAAAUAGAUGGAAAGCACAAGUAAACUGAAAAUAAUCGGUUGCAAUGAAAACGGCUUGGCGCCAACAUUUGAAGGAACUGUAGUGCGAUUCACUAACACAUUUUGACAAUAUUCGCAUUGUUAUCUUUCCUUAACGACAAUUUUAACGAUUUUGCUAUUCGGUAAGCCAAAUCGACAAGAAAAAAUUAGCUGUUUGAUUAACAUGUAAUAGAUUAUCUCAAACUAAACAACAACAACUAUUUUGUGGUCCAAUUAAACGAGAAAAAAGAAUUAGUAGUUUAAAUAAAAAUUUUGAAAUUACAUUAAUAAAAACUUGUUAAAAAAACGGCUUAUCGCGUGGAGAGGAGGUAAUGAAACCGCAAACAGUGAAUCGACGUUUGCUCCGGGAUGUGACCAAUCCUUUCCAUUUGGCUGCAGGAGAGUUCUAAAAAUAUUCCGGUUAACUCCAGACUUGACUGAGGACCUAAUUUUUCAGCUUGACAACCAUCUUAGGGGUCCCAGAAUAACCGCCAUUUCGACUGAAAAACAGGUUCUGGCUCCACUGCGAUUUUUUGCAACCGGAUGUUAUCAACGACCCGUAGGUGAGCAAUGGGGAAUAUCCAUGAGCCAGUCGUCCGUUAGCCGUAGCAUACAUUGCGUAACAGAUGCAAUCAACUGCUCCAUGUUUUGCGCAAAGGUGAGGUUUCCUAUGACCCUAGUGGAGCGGCAAGCGGCAAAAAAAUUUUUACUUCAGCAACUUCACCGUUUUACGGAUUAUAUAUUUGGAGUCCCUCUGCAGUGCGGAAUUUUGAAAAUAGAAGCCAUAACAUAUUUUUGACUGGUGAUUCCGGGUACCCUUUGGAGCCUUGGCUGAUGACUUCUCUAACAAACCAACCAGAAAGCAGUUCGAAAUUCCUAUAUAAUGCAUUGUGCAAAACUAGUAACCCCGUUGAGAGAAUUUGUCUCGUUCUCAAGGCAAUUUGGCGGUGCUUAUCUCAACUAAGGACCUUUAUAUACGUAUGAUCCAGGAUUUACUGGACCAGUUGUGAACGCGUGCUCAGUUAUGCAUAACAUUCGUUUAAGAGAAGGAAUAUACCAGACCGAAAAUGAAUUCACAGAGCCCAUAACAAACAGCAGUUUUGAAAUCAACAUGCACCAUCCCCAACAGCUAAACGUAUCCAAGACGGACUUAUUGCUAUAUUUUUACAUAAAUAUAAUACUAUUAUUACUUAUAAUUAUUCUGUAUAUACAUUUAUACG